rnacentral:tRNA from 1 species
UAGCUCAGUUGGUAGAGCGCUCCACUUGUAAUGGAGAGGUCCCGGGUUCGAUUCCCGCG